ACAUUUUGUACACUAUUUAUGUAAAAUAAUUAUUUAGAUACAAACUCUAUGCAAUAUUUAUGCAGUUUAUAUACAUCCUAUCGAUAUACAUAUUCUAUACAACAAUGAUACAAAUUCUAUACAGAUCAUAUAUAGAAAAUAUAUUCUAUAUAAUACAAUUUUUAUAUACAUCAUAUACAAACCUUAAAUAUACAAUUUUUAUACACAUCAUAUGCAAACCUCAAAUAUACAGUUUUUAUACACAUCAUAUACAAACCUCAAAUAUGCAGUUCUUAUACAGUUUUAUACACAUCAUAUACAAACCUUAAAUAAACAGUUCUUAUACAGUUUUUAUACACAUCAUAUACAAACUUUCAUUUCUCAGAAAUCUCCAUAGAUAAUCAAUCCUAUGCAAUCUCGAAUCAUAAAACACAUUUUUUUUCAAAACCAAUUCAUUUCCUUCAAAUUUCUUCGACAUAUAUCUAUCCAUUAUUACUUUAGCUUCAACACAAUAGCCCUUUUCUUCCAUCCCGAUCAACCUCUAGAUUUUGCAUAUUUUUUCUUCUUUCAUUCUUCUAUCUCGUUUUUCAUCCACCCACAUAAUUCACAAACUCAAUUCAAUUUAGAUAACCUAAAUAGAAAAAAUUAUGAAUUAGAAUGAAAAAGAUAUAAGUUUUGUUGGGUUCUCUUAAUAGAAAAAAUUAAAAACUAGAAGAAAAGAGAUAUGAGUUUUGGUGGGUUCUUAACUAUCACAAAUUGGAGAAAGAAGAGAAAGAAGAAAGAAAAAUGGUUAUGAAAAGAAGAAACUCAAUUCAAUUUAGAUAACCUAAAUAGAAAAAAUUAAGAAUUAGAAGAAAAAAGAUAUGAGUUUUGUUGGUUUCUUAAUAAAAAAAUUUAAGAACUAGAAGAAAAGAGAUAUGAGUUUUGUUGGAUUCUUAACUAUCACAGAUUGAAGAAAGAAGAAAGAAGAAUGGUUAUGAAAAGAAUGAAGAGUCACAAAAUCCUAUUCCUUUAGCAUGUGGCUCCCUUUUC
rnacentral:lncRNA from 1 species